AACUGAUUCACUUUUAUUCAAAAUGGCAAUUUUUACAAACAUGCACAAAUUAUAUUGUGGCCCAAAUGAAGCCUAUAACUUAAAGAUAAUGAUGAAUUGCAUGUUUGCAGACUCGUGGCUUCAUCUCUUCAAUCCUUGAAAGAAGAAGGCGGUGCCGAAAACUCGCCGGAAACCAUCCAUCUCCGUCAUGGUUUGCUUUGAGGCUGUUUGCAUGUUCUUCAUAUCUUCAAUCGCCGUUGCUUUCAUGAUUUUCUUCUCCAAUUGCUAGGAUUGAGUCCAAGGAAGAUCUUAAGAAGAAUCAAAACUAGAACCUUGUCGGAACAUUGACGUUUAUGGCAACUACAACUCUUCUGAAUUUGAACUUGAAUCCCCAACAAAGAUCCACAUCUCAGGUCUUGAUCAUCAAGGAUACUUCACCUAGACACGAAGCGAAGCUUGAAACCGCAUCCAAAUCAAGAUCUAAGCGUUUCCAGCAAAACAGGAACGGCAAUCUCUCCUUCAAACGAAAUAAACGAGGCCAUCAGAAGGAGAAGAACUAUGAUAGAACUUUAUUAAUGUUCAAUUCAAAUCAGAGAAAGAUAGGAGUGAAAACCGAUUCUGAUUUGG
rnacentral:lncRNA from 1 species